rnacentral:lncRNA from 10 species
UCAUAUAAGGAAGCCCUUUAGAUGGUACAUUCACUAAGACGUGUCUGGGUGUGAUCCUGUUUGGGAAAAACAGAAUCCUAGGUUCUAAACAAGAAAAGAACGCCCUUCCCAAAGGGUCCGCACACUUUCUGCUUUGCAGCGGAUCAAGUGUCCUUGUGAGGGUGAGACUUCCUUCAAGGGAAGGGAAGCCAUUGCUCUCUCUGUAGAUAGAGCCCAGCUGGUAACGGGGGAGCCACCCAACUGCAGGGGGGUGUAUGUUCAGGUGUGAAAAACAGAAAACUGGGUCUGAACAUGAAGAGUUGCACAGCAGUAGUUCGAAGAAGCUGGCAUCUCUUUGGCAAACACCAACCUCAGCAAAUGCAACUCCUACACUUCAUUCCCAAGGACCAGGUGUUGCUCCUUAAGGAACUCUGUAUCCCUCUCUCCUCUCCAGAACCCCAUUCCUCCCACUGGCUGAGCUUUUCCUUUCCUUUCCGGGUCACCCAUAGACCCUCUCCGUCUGUACCAGUGCGUCUGUGUUGUGAGCGUGACGAAGCCUUUCCUGUGAAGAGCUUUCAUGAACUCAUUCUCAUACUCCUUCCCCAUUUCCACCCAUGGUGUGACUGUUUUGCUAUUCAAGACUAUCUGUAAAAAUGUACAAAUAAAAGUGAAAACUGAAAAUAAAGGGGAGGGAGAUUGAGAUUAAACAAAUGCAAUGAUGUAGCCCUUAGUUUUCUGAGGACUUCUGUGGACGGCCCUAAAAUCCUGAGUUAGGGUGGGAUAUGAAGGGAGGGAUACCAUUGACACAGGAGGUUUUUUUCUGGUUGUUUCUCUCACAGUCAUCAGUGUCUGCUUAGAACUCUCUGUUCUAAAGGUUUUUCCCUGUAAAGUAGAAUGCACUUCCCCCAAAAUAAAAGUAAAUCAGCAAUGUUUGAAGGGUCAUGGCAAGGGUCAUGACAAAGACCUGACUCUGGGGUGGCAUGAGUGGCCCUGUCACCGGCUCACUCAGGGCCUUGGGGGAGUCUCAUUACCUCACCUUGUCUCCACGUCUUCUCAGCCAAAUGGGGAUCAGGGGCUUCCAGGGCUCUGGGGGUGCGCAGUCCCCUUGUGUAUUUUGCUGCUAUUUCUAGAGAGACUUUGAGCCCUUGCUAGUGCGUGCUUACUGCAUGGAGGUAAAUUAGGAGAUGUUUUCUCUCUGCUACUCCUGGCCUCUGCUUUCGCCCCUCAGAAAGUGACCUUGAGCUAGCAGCCAGUUUGCACUCAGAGUCCAGAGCCUUCUAUCUACCGUUUCAUUCUCAGAUUCCUUUUCCCACCCACUUUGACGAUCUCAUUUUACUAUCAGUCUCUACUGACUGAGCUUUGCUGCACUGGGCUGGGGUAGGAGAAAGAGCAUCCAAGGAGAUGAUGUGUGAAUUGCUUUGUAAUUUAUGACUCACCAUAUAAAUGUGGCUUGCAGUGUCAGAAGCAGGGAGUCUGGCCAAGGGUUGCUACCAAAUAAGACUGAAGAUGGUGGAGGCAGUGGUGGCGUGGAGGCAGUAGGCAGAAGAUGUGGGUUGGGAGCAGAGGUAAGAUGAACGGAGCUUUGGGAAGGACAGAUGGCAGAAGCACCAGAAAAUCCUCAGCAAGGCAGCAGAGAAGGAUCCUCAAAGCAGUAACCCUGAAGUAAUAGGAAGUAGGAAAGAGGAGCAGGGAUUAGGUAAAUCUGCAGCAUAAACAGCUGUCUCCCUGCAGGACUGAGAAGACCAGCUGCCCCAGAGAGGGGAGGCACGUCGAGCUUGGCCAGUGACCCAACCCAUGAUUAGAGGCACCUUCAAUCCCAACUUUCCUCUCCUCUGCUGGGUCACAGUGAUGGAACCAGCUUCAGGAAGGUAGUAUAGACCAGCGUCAUCCAAUGGAACCAUGAUCCAAGCCACAUAUGCAAUUUAAAAUAUUCUAGUAGCCACAUUUUUUAAAGUCCAAAGAAACAGCUAAAAUCAGUGAAAUUAAUUUUUAGACUACAUUUUAACCUAACAUGUCAAAAAUAGUAUCACUUCAGCAUGGAAUCAAUAUAAAAAUUACUGGGAUAUUUUACAUUCUUUUUUCCAAAUGAAGUCUUCAAAAUCCAAUGUGAUUUUCCUCUUAGAAAACAUCUCAGUCUGGCCCAGCCCUAUUUCCAGUGUUCAAUAGCCACACCUGACUACUGGUUGCUGUAUAGGACAGCACGGACUUAGGUUCUUCAUUAGGAGACUGAUGGGGGGGGUCCUUCCUGGUGGGUCACUCACUGCCAUAGCUCUUGUCAUAGCUGAUGAAGGCAGGAGUGAGUCUUAUUAUGUUGGCCUAGAGUAGAAAGCACAGAGCUAUGUCGAGGCUGCUGUCUCAGCCUCUGGAAGUUCUGCUUCACCUGCUUAGUAAGAGGAGAUGACCACUCCUGUGGACUGCAUGUCCCAUCUGCCCCCAGAGGGUGUCGGCGCUGCCCCAGUCAUGUCCCUUAUGACCUGUCCAAGUCCUAGAGGCCAAAGCAGGUCAUAUUCUUCAGCUGCAGGAAUGUCAGCUACUGCCUCCCACCCCUUAACCUGAUCCCCUUAUCAUAUAGUGGGGAAGGGGCAGGCAGGCCUUCUCUCUGUCAAGAACAAAGAUCUCUACAACAUUUCGUCACCUGGGCCAGUCACCUGCUAAUAUCAUCUCACCAAUAUUUGGAGCUGUUUUCUGAAUCCCUUAAUUUUCUUAAAUAUUUAUCUUAAAGUCAAAUGCUAUAAAGGAGAUACCCUGGGAAGGGCAGUGGCCACAGGCAGACUGGGUCUCCUAGGAGGUGGUGGUGUUGGUGACAAGUUCUACUUGGACUGGGACUCAACCCACCAUUGCCUACCUCUCUUCCCUGCCUGGAGACCUUCCUUAGGAUUGAAGAAACCUCUUUUGUUUGUGAAAAAGAUAGGUAUCGAGAUCUUAAUGGAGAGAACAGAAUAAAAUGCAAGGAGCCAACCCCUGGGUAUUCUCAAAGCAUUUCAACGGUCAGUAUAACAAGGUUUGAUUGAUUUAAAAUAUAACAUUCUGAGCCCUGUGUUACUGAGCAAAAAUGAGCUGAUUUGGUGAGUAUGUUUUAUAUAUGGUCAUUAGACAGGGACCAUAACUGACAAAACUCUCAAACGCCUGGAGUGUUUAUGGCCCACCAGAUUAUUGCUCAGUCAAUAUAAAUUUAUUUACCUUUAUUUUAAUUUGCAUAGUGCUUUCUGAUUGGUCAGACAAGGAGUGGUGUGUACUGCAGGAUUCUAACAAUGCCUCUGCCCUUGGAGGCAGCAAUUCCUGUGGUUAUUGGUGCUAAAAUAAGAUAAAAUAUUAUGUUAAUUUGUUCUGAUAUGAUGUGAAUAAAUGUGUUGUUUAAUCUUAACAAGAAUGCUACAUCUUAUCAGAUCUAUUGUACUGUCUGUUCCUUCUCAUAAUUAAUUAAUUACAGGAAAGGCGAUUCAAACCAGAUCUUGAAACUAUUGUGAUGUUCUGAGAGGUAAAUUUAACAGGGAAGUGGGAGGGGGGAUGAAAAGGGAAAUUGCCAGGUUCCUGUGACUUUGAAAGGACUGAGGAAGCAGAGAGCAUUUGGGGACUUCACUGAAACUGACUGCAUCUUGCAAUUUUCUUUUUCGAAUUGGCAGAAAUAUUGUAUUUCCAUUGAUUGAAGAAAAACAAGUGUCUGGUAAUUAAUUAAAUGACUUGUUCAUGGAAAAAAUAAAUAAUCUGUCAGUUGUGGAAUGUAAACUGAUUAAACAAUUAAAUAAAGAAGAUUAUGUUGUGUGUUUU